GGUGGAUUUUCGCGGCCCGGGCCCGGCGGCCUCCCAGCGCCAGCACGAUCCUCUUUCCCUGGGGCUGAGCAGACGUGCUCGCCUAAUUCCGCCCUGAAGACUGCAGCUGUGCGGCAAGGGGGGUGGGGGAGGGGGGGUUGGAAUAACCCGCAAGUUUUCCAACAGAAAAGUGUAUGCGCACAGGAGAGGUGAAGGCCCACCCGAUUCCGGGCACGUACCGACACAGCAUCUAAUCAGUGUCACUGCGAGGAGCACGCUUCCGCGGCGGGCGACACCUCGGCCCCCGCCAACCUGCAGGCGGAGGUGGGGGGGAGGAGGGGGAUGCAAAUGGCGUCUCGCGUCGCACCACACUCUGCACGGCUCCCGCUGCCUCAACUCCCAGUAGACUUCGCAGCGGGGCCAAGCGCCGCCACUCGGGGGACGCGAAAACGCUGGCCGCCCGCGCCCCUCUGGAAAACGAACUAGCACCACUCCCCGUGCCCAAGCCAUUAUUUCCCUGCCCCCACCACCGGAAAAACUGCCCUUCCCCGAUGAGGGGUGGGGUGGGAAACUUUGUGCGAGGACCGUGCCGCCCCUCUUCCGCGUGGCGUCCGAGAGGAACAUGGGUGGGUUUCACAUCAGAGGCCUGACCACACCCUCCCACUUAUCUAGGCCUCGGACCUCAACCGCGUGGACUACGCAGCAGAGGGAAACACUUCAGGCCACUCCGGGAGGGGGGCACCGAAGUCAGGCGUCCUCAAGCGCUCUGGCUGCUGACCAAGUUCGUGUUCUUUCCAUCCUACGCCGGAGUAGCGCUGGCUACUUCGGGGAAGCGUGAAACUCCUCAUUCCCGGCCACGAGGCCACCCCUGUCUUUAAGACCACAUAAGGAACACCAUGAUCGUACAUCUGUGCAGCUUGUUUCAGAGUCCCAGCCCUCACCAGCUGUGAGGUCACAUCUCUUGGAAGGCAGUCAUCUACCUCAACCAACAGCUUGGAGAUGGCUGGGCAGUAGGACCACAUCUGCCAUUUGAACAGCCUACCACUGCUGCUCUGGGCUGUCCAGCUCCUUCCAGUGCUCCAAGAGAGGAUGCAAUUUUAAAAAAUGCAUAUAUUCAGGCAGAUGGACCCCAGUGAACUAUGCAACACAGCCAGCAUCCAUGGCCAUUGCUCCAGACGGGGUGCCUUCAACUACAGGGAAAUGACUUCACAAAAUGCGACUGUGUCUCACAAGAGAACUCCUGAGGCCUUCUUUAAACUCUGUCCGGAGCUUGAUCAACGUGAAUAAAAAUCUCUCCUUGGGAAGACGUUCAGAGUGCCUGAAAAUGAAUAGGCAUCGUCAAGUGGAUGUGAUCUCCGGAGAACCGCGCAUCUGGCAGCCUGUUUUGCCGCAUUGAUGCCAGAGGCAUCUGCUGAGUUGAAGCGAACAAUGUGAAUAAGUGAAGCAGGUUCCGAGGCCAGGGCAGGCCAGGGAGCAUGCAUGCCUCUGCUGGGAACCAGUGUGCUGGGUCUUCUGAUUCUUCAGGAGAUGCCGGAAAUAUGGAUUUUUAUGGGAAAACUUCCAAUUUUAAAAUGCUGGCAACUCAUUCAAAAAACUGGCUCUCUGAAGCAACGCCAAGAGCACAGGGCUGGCCACCAAACGGAGCCCUGCUAACCUGCCCUCGAGGGCCCUUGGACUUGAUGCCAACCUUGAGCCUCAGUGCCCCCAGCCUGCAUUUGUGGAGUCUGAACUGGGUCCACAGCUGUUCUGCCUCAGUGUGGGGCCAAGCCUAACAAAAAGCAAAGCCUCUGGAAGAAGAGGAAGUGUUCUCUGGAUGCUGAAUGGGAGACCUCGAGGAGAUGAAGAAGAUGAAGAUCAGAGGAGCUAAGUCACUUGCCCAGAACCGUGCAGCCAGCAAGUUGGGUGCCAGGACUUCAAACAGCAGCUACAUCUCCAGCCUGCUUCCUGCACCUGGUGGGGGACACAGUGCUUCUCCGCCUUCAGGAAACAGCCCACUUGUCAGCAGCUGGGCUCCCAGGAACAAAGGCCUAGGUUCAUUACCACAGUAUCGACCCUGACACGUUGCACUCGGGCCACCUCCCCCAGAGUUCCUCAAUUCACACCCCAAAUGAAGCGUAAUUGGACCUGGACAUCUUUGAAGUCCCCCGAGCAGCUUGCCAGCAUUUUGAAAUGUCCUUGAUUUGCAUGGUGAAAACCUGGCUGGAGGUGACUUUUUUUCUUUUCCCUCAUCCCACAGUUUUCAAGACAGAAUGAUUUUAAAUGACAUUCCCCAGCCAGGGGAGAGUUACUAUGGAAGAAAUAAAAAUUCUCAAAGCCCCAAAAAGAAAAGGCAAAAGAAGUCCAAGAUUUUGCUGCAUCUCUCACGUGCCCCUUUGCUCGAUUUCUGUCCUGUGAGGGCCGCGCCAGGGUUUCCUCUCAACCUUCUUCCCAGACCCCAGACCUGAAGGGCUGACAAGGAUCCAGGAAGCUUGGCUGGGAGUUUCUGCAGGCCGGCAGGUUGCUGUCAGACCUGAAGCAAGAAUGCGAGCCCCACCACAGGCCGGGUGAAGAAGCAAGCUCUGCCCACUGUAGAUUCUCCAGGAGCAUUUGUCUACUGUGGAGUGAAUCAGAAGUCGCGCCCUCCCUCUGACAGCUGCAGGGGGAGAGGGUGGAGGAAUCAUCUAGGGAAUGUGAGGGCAGUGGGGGCCACAUGGUGAGGAGGAAAGUUCUCCCUUGUCCCUUUCGAAGGCCCCUGGGGAUGUGGCCGAGGAGCCCAGGCCUGCGAAGUUGUGGUGGAGGAAGGAAGCUGUGUGGUAAUGUGGUUAGAGCUCAGCAAACCGGGCUCCAAAAGCCAGCACUGUUAGGUGACUGGUGUGCACCCCAGUUUCCUCUUGAUCAAAACUGGAAUGCCUUCCGGGCUGGUUAUGGGGAUUAAGGGAGAUCAGGUGAGUGAUGGCCCAGGCACAGCAUGGGUUUAGGAGAUGGCUGUUCCUGGGGUUGAUUCAGACCUGCACUUUUGAGGGAGUGGAGCCCUAAGUAUAUAAAUCAUUAACUCCUCACAGGUAUAUUUGCUUUGCCCUGGGGUUUUCCAAGGGCAGGCUCUCCCAGCAACCCCAGAGCCUUGCUACUCAGAGGGCUCGUGGACCGGGAAGCAGCCUCCCCUGAGGGCCUAUUAGGACCCCCUCAGAUGCUCCCCAGACCUGCUGAAUCAGAAUUUGUAUAUUAAGAUUACCCCAGGUGAGUCAUAUGCACACUGAAGUUUGAGAAGCACUUUAGAAACUCCUCGUGAAGUCUGCAAUGUUGAGAUGACUAUUCUCAUUCUGAGAAUGAGAACACUUCCUCAGAGUCUGAGAAUUGAAGGCUUCCUUUGCCCAAGCCCACAAGGUCUUCUAGGAAGAGGUCUGGUGACUCCUAUGGGUCCUAAAUAACUUUCCUACUCUUGACUGUUCCCUGAAGGAGCAGCAUGCUUUAGGCCAGGGUGGAGAUGAGCAAGGCCAGGGCCAGGGACUCAUCUGCCGGUAGCCACGAUAGCCACGAAGGGGGCCGGGAAAGUUCCCUGCUGUAGAAGGGCUGUGUGGACUCCACCCUGAGGAGUAUGAGGUCUUGGCCCUGGGGCUUGAGUUCUGAUGACAAAGAGGCCAGGAAAAAAAUGUCCCGUCAAUACAUACCCGCAUUCCUAUGUUAAAGUGGAAUUUUCCAAAGGUGAAAACACUUGACUCACAUGCAAAUAUAAAAUGACCACAUGUCAAAGAUUUAAUUUAACUCAUUCCUUAAUGAGGAAACGUCUAAGAUGUUAAAUCUGGUUACAGUGAGAAUGUGAGGAGCUCGGUAUUUAUAGGCAAUUUAAUAGAAGAAUCUUAGGGUGAGACAGCUAGGUUAGAAAUUAUUUGCAUCUCUACCAGACAAAAAUCUGAAAGUUAACCAACCUCUGCCGCUAUGGGAUUGUAAAAUAGCCCAGUCAAUAGGAAAUCAAUCAAAGGUGCCAGCCCUGCACGAUGCAGCUAGAACACCCAAUAAUCUCUUUUGCCUAUUUCCAAUUUUGGAUAAUUUUUUCUGACACUACCCUCGGUGAGUCCUUGAGAAUCCGGAAAUUGCUCUUGCCUGAGAAUUAUCCUCAGAAUGGAAUGUGGGUCUUGGAACGAAAGGAGGAAUAAAAGAUGAGCAAGCCCAUCUUCUGAAAGAUGGUGAGUGUGCUUUCCCAGCCACCUUUCCUCUGUCCUGCAAGGUACUGUACGACUGCUCUCAGAGGGUGUGAGCUGACACUGUGAUAGAGAAAGCGACUGUUCACAGAAAGGACACCACACAGCCUGCUCCUGACUCCCAUUCCCUUUAACCUUGGCCACCGUACAGAGGGGGAUGAUGUAUCCACACACAUAUGCAGCCUUGUCCAAAAUAUUUUCCCCUCCUGUAUAGUUCUUGCCAAUAUUGUUAAUCUGUGGGUUGACUUCAGACCAAAAUAAAUCUCCCAGCCCUGGCCACCAGCUAGCUAAUUUUACUUUGUAACCAGGGAAUAGAAAGUACGGGCCCUUGGCCGACCAUUCUGUGUUUAUUUGGCUUUCUCUCUGCUGCAGUUUAAAAAUCACAUUUGGAAAAGUGGACCCUCUGUGCAUAAGAACAGCCACAGAGAGAAACAACAACAAAGACGAACGGGUUGAAAAAGGCAAGUCCUUCCAUUCCCCUCCACAUUUGUCUCUCAUCUCAGGAUUCCGAUCAUCCCCACUGGCCUUUUCCACGAUGUCUAGAGUUGUAAAAUGGGCCCCAACGCAGAAGAAUACAUGGCCUUUCGGUGAGGAUUUUCAACUGAAUAUCGCCUGGGUUCUGGAGCAGUUAGAGGAAGGAAGUGGGUAGAAGUUUACCAUGUCUGCCCUUGAAGGGACCUUGGAGGGCAUCUAUUUGGUCCAGCCUAGCCCACUGAAGGGCAGGAUUUCCUCGCAGUUGAGAGCACAGAAUUAGAGCCAGACAGCCCUGGGUUGAACUAGUUCUCCACCACUUCCUCACUGUAUGGCCUUGGAUGAGUUGACUAACCUCUGCCUCAGUUUCCUCAUCUGUCAAAUGGGGAUGGUGAUCAUCAUACUACCUCAGAAGAUUGUAGCAAGGACGAAAUGAAUUAACAUGUAAAGAAAGCAUCAGGAAGAGCACGAAGCAUCCCAUAAGCAUUUGAUAAGAGAAGGAAAUCAGGCUCAGAGGAGAAGCAACCUCCCCAGGGUCACUUGGGGAGUUGCCAAACUGAGCUGGACUCGGUGAAAAAGAGGAGAGGUUACUGCCUCUUGGAAAUUCUGACUAAUAACUGUUUCUCUGCCUGUGUUACAUCAUCCUCACUCAACACUUGGCGAGACCUCAUGUGGAAGUCAGGGUGCCACGUUCCAGUCCAGGCGCGCUGCUCACCCAUGGUGGCCCUCCUAGCUAAUGACCUUGGGGCUGGAGGGUCUCUGGGGUUCCUGUUGGCACUAACAUCUUAUAAUUUGAGAUUACGGUCUGUACCCUCCAUUCGAGUCAAGUCUGUCUUUUUCCGCAACAUUUUUUUUUACUGUUUUUUUUUCUCCAUUUUCCUCUGACAUUUUGUCCAACUGUAUCCUAUGCACAUCAACAUCCGGGUUUCCUUUUGGCCCUCCCACUCUAUGCCUUCCACUUUGGCCCCUCUCCCCUUCCCCUCUGCUAGGGCAAUCACGGGCUCCCACUGGCCCACACCUAGCCCUCAGUUGCCAGGUUCAAGUUGAUUAGACAGUCUUGGAGCUGCCUUGAAAGUUACUAUGUAGGCGCCUUGAAAGUAGGAACUGGAUUUCUUCCUUUCAUGACCCACUUUAAGAGUCUAAUAGAGUGCCCUUGGCAGAGUGGCUUAUCCAUUAUGGUUUGUUGACUGGUUCCAAAAUGAGUCGGAGAUAUUGGAUGAAAUCUUGUGUUAUCAAGGCUCCCUCUGGUACGUUUAGUACAGCUGUCAUAGAUGGAAUGGGUAUCUUAGAACAAUUAAAAUUUCAAACUUGAAAAUUUCAGGCUGCAACAUAGUAAUGUUAGAUAUUUCCUCUGUUGCCUUUCUCCCCAGCCCUAUUCCAUAUCCCCUUUCCCUAAACUACAAGCCUGAGUCAAAUGUUAGGUUGCCAUCUGUUGGUGCAGUGAGGCAUUGCAGCAUAGCUCUACAAGAUAUUGUAAAUGCCUGGAAGGAAGUGAACAGAGAUUGAAUUUCUGGGAGGUGAGUCUCUAGAGUGAACAUGGACAUUCUAGGAAUCAGCGAACUAAAAUGGACUGGAAUGGGUGAACUUAACUCAGAUGACCAUUAUAUCUACUACUGUGGGCAGGAAUCCCUUAGAAGAAA